GAUGAACGCUAGCGGCAGGCUUAAUACAUGCAAGUCGUGGGGCAGCAUAGGGUAGCAAUACUCUGAUGGCGACCGGCAAACGGGUGCGGAACACGUACGCAACCUUCCUUUAACUGGAGAAUAGCCCCUCGAAAGAGGGAUUAAUACUCCGUAAUAUAAUGAUAAGGCAUCUUAUUAUUAUUAUAGCUCCGGCGGUUAGAGAUGGGCGUGCGCCUGAUUAGGUAGUUGGCGGGGAAUGGCCCACCAAGCCUGCGAUCAGUAACUGGUGUGAGAGCACGACCAGUCACACGGGCACUGAGACACGGGCCCGACUCCUACGGGAGGCAGCAGUAAGGAAUAUUGGUCAAUGGACGCAAGUCUGAACCAGCCAUGCCGCGUGAAGGAUGAAGGCCCUCUGGGUUGUAAACUUCUUUUAUCUGGGAAGAAAUGCAUGCUUUUUAGCGUGUUUGACGGUACCAGAGGAAUAAGCACCGGCUAACUCCGUGCCAGCCGCCGCGGU
rnacentral:rRNA from 1 species